rnacentral:snRNA from 1 species
GGAUGUGAGGGUGAUCUGGCUGCAACAUCUGUCACCCCAUUAAUCACCAGGGUUGAUCUGGCCAAUCUGGCUGGCUAGGAAGGUAUCCCCUCCCUCACUACUCCAUGUGUGUCCCUCCCAAAGCUGUGCGCUCGGUCGAAGAGGACAACCGUCCUCAGUAGAGGUGGACCAUUCUUAGGUCAAGGGUAUAGGAGUAGCUGUGCUCCCCUGCUAGAACCUCCAAACAAGCUCUCAAGUAAAUACUUACAAAGCAUCCACAUGCUGCCAGGCAGUAGACUAAGUGCUAAGAAUAUAGCAGUAGACAAGGCAGACAUGGUCUCUGUCCUCGU